AUCUCCAAUCCGCCCUCCCAAUCCAGAAAAGCAUUCCCUCAUUGAGCCUGGAGCCCCCACCCCCACCCCCCACCCCCGAAGCUGUUGUGUCUGCUUAGGGCCUCUGAAAAGGGUUGAGGAAGCUAAAGGGUUCUUCUACCUCUAAUCGAAAUAGGCAGGCUAUGGGGAGCCUGGGCUCUUGUGUUCCGGAUGUAUACCUCCACCGCCCAUAUCCUGGAGUUCUGGAAGAAAAUUGAGGGCAGAUCUCAACGUUGACGGAGGAGAGCCAGAGUGCUAAAGAUACGCAGGCGCUGUGACGGUCCAGAAGUUUUUACAGUAAGAAAGUUUCAGCUCCCUGCCAAGCUGGAGGAGGCACUCUUGUGGGUCAGCGUGUACCGGCACACCCAAAACCUUAGGGAUCUAGAUAACUAACCCUCAAGAGCAGUAUUUUAAAAAUUAAAGAGUAGGAUCUGGAAAGAUGGCUGAGUCAUUAAGAGCGCUGGCUGGUGGCUCUUGCCGAGGACGCGUGUUCUUUUGUCAGCACCCUCAAGGUGGCUUACAAAACUUCUGAAACUCCAGUUCUAAGGGAUCACACACCCUCUUCUGGCUUCUAAGGGCACCAGGCACACAUAUGGUACAAUGCGGGCAACGCAUUCAUACACAUAAAGUAAGAAUAAAUAAAACAUAUUGCAAAAAGGUUGUAGGAAAUUAUUGAAACUUAGAGGCGGUGACGGAAACCAGCAUAUAGGAUCCCAGAUCAUGCCACUUUGGUGCGCUGGUUGUUUGGAGUUCUAAGCACUCUGAAAACAGCAAACCGAGGAGAGGUUUCUCUGUGCUUCCCCGUUGUGCCCUCAAGGCAGGUUUGCCGAGAGAACUGAACUGCCAUCGACAGAGACUUUCACAAUUCCCAGACAAACUGCCUGAGCCUCCUCUAUCUCAUGUGUAUUCCUCCAAGGACCUGUUCAUCUCCAGUAAGUGAGCUACGCCUGCCUUUCCCCUGUGGGGGUGGACUAAAUCCCUCGACCCUGUCACAUUCACCGGUAGUCACUUUUCUAUCCCCAUAUCAACUGCUAAAGAGUGGUUUUCCCCUAUGCACCUGCCAAGUGUCAGCUUAUUCAACAGACACCAUGGAAUGUCUGUCCAGCCUGAUUUUGGAAGCCUUCAGCUGCCCUCCCGCAGAGGCAGCCUAUCAUCUGCAGGGGUGAUGGGACUCUACAUUGCCUGGGUGCCCAACUUGACUGGUCCCCUCUCAGAGCUUCAGUGGACUCUGUAGAGACUUGGAGGGAUCGUGACUUUCGAUGUAGAACUUCAGGGGCCAGCAAGCUGGCUCUGUGGCUUUAGAUAUUUGUGGUUAAGUUCUAAGCCUGACCACCUGAGUUUGUCCCCUGAUCUCAGUGGAAGGAGCAAUCUUACUCCCAAAGGUUAUCCUCCUGCCUCCUGCCUCUCUAUGCAAACCACAGCACUUCAAAGAGUCAGAGCUUCAAGCAAAGCUUCAAGUUUAUUGAUGAAGAAGGACGGACACACUUGAGCCAAGUCAAGUGCGGCAUCAGAACAGGAGCUAACUGUUGUCAAUGUGAUUUAGCAUUCGGUGUUCCAAUUUUAAUAUGUUCUCCAUUUACCAAAGCUGAGGGAAACUAAAAAGAAAAAAAGUGUCCUUGGUCUUAUUUCCUUGUUGUAAGAUGUGAGGUUUUUGUUAAAAGGUUUAUUUUAGAACUAUUGAUGUGUCUUUCGGUUGUACGGGUGCCCGUAGAAGCCAGAAGCGAGCAUCGGCUCCCCUGACGCUGGAGUUAGAAGCAGUUGUGAGCCACGUGCUUUGGGCUCUUGGAUCUCUAAUCCUCUACACGAAUAGAAAGGCCUCUUAACACAGGCUGAGUCCACAAGUUUUUUGUUUGUUUGCUUUUGGGUUUUUUUCCCCUGUAGGUAAAAUUAUAAGCUGAUUCACAGACAGGAUUGUAUCUGAGCAGAAGAUUCGGUUAAUC
rnacentral:lncRNA from 1 species